rnacentral:rRNA from 1 species
CACGUAGGGCGCGAGCGUUGUCCGGAAUUAUUGGGCGUAAAGAGCUCGUAGGCGGCCUGUUGCGUCCGCUGUGAAAGCCCGGGGCUUAACCCCGGGUCGGCAGUGGAUACGGGCAGGCUAGAGGUAGGUAGGGGAGAAUGGAAUUCCCGGUGUAGCGGUGAAAUGCGCAGAUAUCGGGAGGAACACCGGUGGCGAAGGCGGUUCUCUAGUACGGUACUGACGCUGAGACGCGAAAGCGUGGGGAGCGAACAGG